rnacentral:rRNA from 1 species
GACGAACGCUGGCGGCGUGCCUAAUACAUGCAAGUAGAACGCUGAAGCGAGGAGCUUGCUCUUCUUGGAUGAGUUGCGAACGGGUGAGUAACGCGUAGGUAACCUGCCUUGUAGCGGGGGAUAACUAUUGGAAACGAUAGCUAAUACCGCAUAACAAUGGAUGACACAUGUUAUUUAUUUGAAAGGCGCACUUGCUCCACUACAAGAUGGACUUGCGUUUUAUUAGCUAGUAGGUGAGGGAAUGGCUCACCUAGGCGACGAUACAUAGCCGGCCUGAGAGGGUGGUCGGCCACACUGGGAGUGGGACACGGGCCAGGCUCCUGCGGGAGGCAGCAGGAAGGAAUCUUGAGGAAUGGGGGGAAAGCUGACCGAGCAAGGCCGGGUGAGUGAAGAAGAUUUUCGGGUCGUAAAGCUCUGUUGUAAGUCGAGAAAGAGUGUGAGAGUGGAAAGUUCACAGUGUGACGGUAGCUUACCAGAAAGGGACGGCUAACUACGUG